rnacentral:snRNA from 1 species
AAGUGUCACAGCUCUUUUAGAAUUUCUCUAGCAGGUUUUCUGGUUUUCACUGGAGUCCCUCC